UACAAAUCAAUUCAAUGGUUCUCAGCUUCUUAGGUGAGUAGUUAGAUCAGUAUGUAAAUUCUUUUUACACAAUUCUUAGAAAUCGGGGCUUUCCCCGAAAGUGAUUAUAUUGCCUAAUAACUGCUUGGGUAAGUCCCCAAUACGCUCAUACUUCUACGGAGAAAUGACAAGGAGUAACUUUAUUUGAGAGCCAUGGAUAGGGAACAAUGUAGAUACAACACUGAGUGCUACCGAAGGAACCCUGAGCAUCUGAGAAACCGAAGCCAUUCCCACUGUAAGUAAAUGUGGGGUGAAAACUUUAAACUAUAUCUAUAGUGAAUAAUAAAGGAGACAGUUGUUAGAGCCAUCAAGAUGCAGCAAAUAGCAAAAUAAAAUAAUAGGUGACUUGCACAUGAAAAUGCAAAAAAAUAUUACUUUUUGAGUGCCAAAUUUAAGCCAAAAUAGACAAAGAAAUUGCUACGGUCAUAUCAGGCUAGUGAGCCACAAAAACUAAUAUAUCAAUGAAAAUAAGUCUUUUUUGGUGGAUUUUAAAAGGCUGAAUAACUUGCUUUUUGCUGUUGUUACACGAGUUCGUAACCUAAAUUGCUCUGUGUAGCAUAGCUGUCAACCCAACUUGGACAGAAAUCUUGUGAAAUACAGUAAUGUGAAAA